rnacentral:rRNA from 1 species
AGAGGGAACUUCUGCUAAUCCCGGAUGAGCCGAAAGGUGAAAUGAUUUAUCGCCUGGAGAUGAGCUCGCGUCUGAUUAGCUAGUUGGGGGGGUAAAAGCCCACCAAGGCGACGAUCAGUAGCUGGUCUGAGAGGACGAUCAGCCACACUGGGACUGAGACACGGCCCAGACUCCUACGGGAGGCAGCAGUGGGGAAUUUUCCGCAAUGGGCGCAAGCCUGACGGAGCAAGACCGCGUGGGGGAGGAAGGCUCUUGGGUUGUAAACCCCUUUUCUCAAGGAAGAAGUUCUGACGGUACUUGAGGAAUCAGCCUCGGCUAACUCCGUGCCAGCAGCCGCGGUAAUACGGAGGAGGCAAGCGUUAUCCGGAAUGAUUGGGCGUAAAGCGUCCGCAGGUGGCCGUUCAAGUCUGCUGUCAAAGCCAGGGGCUCAACUCCUGACCGGCAGUGGAAACUGAACAGCUAGAGUGCGGUAGGGGCAGAGGGAAUUCCCGGUGUAGCGGUGAAAUGCGUAGAGAUCGGGAAGAACACCGGUGGCGAAAGCGCUCUGCUGGGCCGCAACUGACACUCAGGGACGAAAGCUAGGGGAGCGAAUGGGAUUAGAUACCCAAAGUAGUCAA